rnacentral:rRNA from 1 species
GGGCCCGCACAAGCGGUGGAGCAUGUGGUUUAAUUCGAUGAUACGCGAGGAACCUUACCAGGGCUUAAAUGCAGAACGACAGAGGUGGAAACACCUCCUUCUUCGGACGGUCUGCAAGGUGCUGCAUGGUUGUCGUCAGCUCGUGCUGUGAAGUGUCGGGUUAAGUCCCAUAACGAGCGCAACCCCUAUUUCUAGUUGCCAGCGGUUCGGCCGGGGACUCUAGAGAAACUGCCAGCGUAAGCUGUGAGGAAGGUGGGGAUGACGUCAAAUCAUCACGGCCCUUACGUCCUGGGCCACACACGUGCUACAAUGGUGAGGACAGAGAGUCGCCAACCCGCGAGGGUGAGCUAAUCUUCAAACCUCAUCUCAGUUCGGAUCGAAGUCUGCAACUCGACUUCGUGAAGUUGGAAUCGCUAGUAAUCGCAGAUC